rnacentral:lncRNA from 10 species
CAGAAACAACCACGGUUACCCUAGAAGUAAAUCCAGAGCUGCGGGACGCUGGAGGACAAAACCAACCUUCCAGGGAAGCCGAGGAGAAGUCAUGCCUUCAAAAGGUGUCUGCCUUUUUUUUUUUCACCCUCUCUCCUCUAACCUGUUUGUAACUGGGAAAUGAAAUAGUUUUGGUUUGCAAGCUGUCGCCAGGGAGUGGAGCAAGACUUUGUAAUAAACAAGAGCAACUGCCAGAGCCCCCAGCGAGCCUCUCCAAGGCCAGACUGCCAAGAAAAGCUGGCAGUGUGACAGCAAGUUUCAUUCAGCGUGGCCGGUGGUCACUGAGGAGCGACCAUGAGGAGGAUGGCCAGAGGGGGUACCCCCCAGUCUCACCUUGGGGAAGAGUACAGCCUCCUAUUAGUGAGCUGUGUGGGCUAUUAAAAUUCCCCCAGGCUGAGUGUUUCAGGAAACACCAUAAAUAAAUAAAAUUGUCUGUGUGUGUGUGUGUGUGUGUGUGUGUGUGUGCAAUUCUCUAGAGAAAAGAUCUAGAGCUUUCACCAAAUUCCCAAGAGCCCACGACCCUUACAGCAGAAGCCAAACUCAGAAUUAGCACACACUUAGGUCUUCUGCAAAAGAACACCAAGCUCACCACUUUUAUUUCUGGAAACUGAGCCUAGGCGGUCAGCC